rnacentral:rRNA from 1 species
AACGAACGCUGGCGGCAGGCCUAACACAUGCAAGUCGAACGCCCCGCAAGGGGAGUGGCAGACGGGUGAGCAACGCGUGGGAACGUGCCUUUCGGUUCGGAAUAGGCCGGGGAAACCCGGGUUAAUACCGGAUACGUCCUUCGGGAGAAAGAUUUAUCGCCGAGAGAUCGGCCCGCGUCGGAUUAGCUAGUUGGCGGGGUAAUGGCCCACCAAGGCGACGAUCAGUAGCUGGUCUGAGAGGAUGAUCAGCCACACUGGGACUGAGACACGGCCCAGACUCCUACGGGAGGCAGCAGUGGGGAAUAUUGGACAAUGGGCGCAAGCCUGAUCCAGCCAUGCCGCGUGAGUGAUGAAGGCCCUAGGGUUGUAAAGCUCUUUCGGCGGGGACGAUAAUGACGGUACCCGCAGAAGAAGCCCCGGCUAACUUCGUGCCAGCCGCCGCCGUAA